UUUAGUCACAUUCUUUUGUUU
rnacentral:piRNA from 1 species